rnacentral:lncRNA from 1 species
UUUUGGUUUUAAGGGAAAAAAUCAAAUAGGAAGUUAAUUUUCGCUAGAAAGGAUAGGAAGCCAUAGGAUUAUGACAUGUGGCAAAUUUUAAAAUAAAGAGAAAGGGUAUUUUAGUCAAUCCAACUCCUUCUUCUUCCUUUUUCAAAACCCAGUAAAUUCAAAAACCCACCAUUUUCAAAACCCACCAUCUUCAACUAUUUCUUCACUUUCUAUCUCAAUAAUCACUACAUUAUAGUGCGAUUUUCAUCACCAAUCAAUGAUUCAGAACCCGAUCAACGUGUUCUUCAGCUUUUUUUUGAAGAAAACCCAGUUUAAUUUCAUAAAAAAAUCUCGUUUUUUCCGGUGAUUUUGGAGAUAAUCACUCGAUUCGUUCGAUUCGAGCGUUGAUAAGUGUUUCUAUCAUUCAAAUUUUGUCAAUUGAUGAAGAAAUAGGCUUCGAUCCAUGUAAGAAAUUCUUUAAUUUCAUUUUCAUGAUCUGGGUUUUUGAUUUAGUCAUGGCGUUUUACGAUCUUUAGGUGCUUUCAGUCCAUUGCGUUUUAGAAUGAGUCAUUUUUAAGUGUUUUCUGGCCAUUGCGUUUUACAUAUAAGACAUUUCUUUGUGUUUUUGGUGCAUUGCGUUUUAGGUAAAACACUUUUUUAUGUGUUUUCAGUCCAUUACGUUUUAGAAAAUAGACAUUUUAAGUGUAUUCUGGCCAUUGCGUUUUACAAAUAAGUCAUUUCUUUGUGUUUUUGGUGCAUUGCGUUUUAGGUAAAAACACAUUUUUAUGUUUUUCUGACCAUUGCGUUUUACAAAUAAGACAUUUCUGUGUGUUUUCUGGCCAUUGCGUUUUACAAAUAAGUCAUUUCUUUGUGUUUUUGGUGCAUUGCGUUUUAGGUAAAACACAUUUUUAUGUGUUUUCUGACCAUUGCGUUUUACAAAUAAGACAUUUCUGUGUGUUUUCUGGCCAUUGCGUUUUACAAAUAAGUCAUUUCUUUGUGUUUUUGGUGCAUUGCGUUUUAGAAAAAUGUCAUUUAUUAGGUUUUUUUUUUCAUUGCGUUUUGCGUAACUGGUGGUUUUUCUAUUGCGUUUUACGCAACUGGGUUUUAAAUUUUUUUUUUUUAAAUAUAGCAAUAGUAUACUCGUUUUAAAGAUAAAAAACGCUCGUUUUUUUUGUGCAAUUUUUAUAAAAAAAAAUAAUGUCGUAUGAAAGAGUUAUUAACGUUUAAAAAAUGGGGGGGAAUUGGAGGAGAGAGAAACUAUUGGCUUGGAUUGACUAGAAUGCCCUUAAACAAACUCACGCGCCUCUUUUCUUCCUUUCAAUUUCCCUGAUUUAAUCUUAGCCCUUGAUUAACUUAAUGGAUGAUCAAGAUCACUUCCUAUCCUUCCUAGCCAAAUAAACUUUCUAUUGUAUCUCCACCCUUGGUUUUAAAAGAAAGAUGUUGCAAAAUUUUAGUAAAGUCAUGAUAAUAAUUUAAAAAAAAAAUAAUCUUUUUUGAACUUUAAUAUUAACAAAAAUAAACUUUGAUCCUAUAAACCAAAUUGGCUAGUUAGAUGUUAUAAAUCAUUCUACGUUUCUUAGUUUAUAACCUUUUGAUUGGUUUUAAAAAGAAAGAUGUAAACCAAAUUGGCUAGUUUUCUCCUCGAACUUUCUUUUUUAUUUAAUUUUUUUAAUAUCAAUCAACAAUGAUUCCUACUCAAUGGUAGAAGUUAUCAAUCACACUCACACCUUAUCUUCUCACUAUUUAAAUGAUUAAAAUAAGUAUUUUUUUGUGAUUAUGAGAAGACGAAUUAAGAUAGGGGUUCCUUUUUGCCCCUUGGUGUGAACAAGUCCAAGGACAAAGUUGAAAAAAAUGAAAAAGAAAACCGCUAAUCGGCGAAAGGUGAUCAUUCAAGGUGGGCGAAGGUUGGGCUGUAAACCAAUCAAACGGUCAGCAAACACUUUGUGAACUGUUUGACGAGAAAUUCGCUUACGUUCGUUCGUUUUAUAAAUGAACGAACAUAAACAAAAAAUGUUAUUCGAUUAGUUAGAUCAACAAACAUGAACAUAGGUCUCCUUCGUUCAAUUGGGGGGGGGGGGUAGUGCACGGUCCUCCCAACCGCCGGAGUGAUCUCACUCCGGGAGCCGCUACCCGACCAAGCUAGCUCCGCGGUGACAUCCCCAUGCCGAGUUCUUACCCUGGGCGACAUAUGCCACUCCCAAGACUCGAACCCGGUACCUCUGGGUGUUCGGUAACAUGUUCGUGAACAUUCAUUUAUCUUCGUUUGUUUAUGUUGAUCAUGAAAUUUUUGUACUUUUAUUUAUUUUAUCCAAACUUUGAAUAUUCUUUAACUUUAAUUUAUUUUAUUAUCCUAAAAUUAAAAUAAGAAGCCUUAUUUCCGAAAACCGUUCUAUGGCGUGAUGAUAACACAUGGUCUUAUUAGGCCUUGAGAUGUACUAGUUUAACUUCAUUGGUGUUAAAGAUGACAUGACAAGUUAAUAGGUUUUUCAAACCACUCCCUUCUAAUGUUAAGAGGUGUUAAAACCUCCCUUGGUUAACAUGUUA